rnacentral:rRNA from 1 species
CGUCCCGCCGGCGACCGGCGCACGGGUGAGUAACACGUAUGCAACCUGGCCGCCACAGGGGGAUAACCCGCGGAAACGCGGCCUAAUACCCCGUGACGCCACCGGAGGGCAUCCUCCGGUGGCCAAAGGAGCGAUCCGGUGGCGGAUGGGCAUGCGGCGCAUUAGCUAGACGGCGGGGUGACGGCCCACCGUGGCGACGAUGCGUAGGGGUUCCGAGAGGAAGGCCCCCCACACUGGGACUGAGACACGGCCCAGACUCCUACGGAAGGCAGCAG